CUUUCCAAUCUUGUCUAAGCUCAGAAUCAAAACAGUAUUGGGCCUGAGUUAUACUUGGAUGGGAGACCACUAGAAAAUCUGGAUUGGGAGAA
rnacentral:rRNA from 1 species